GACGAACCGUGCGAACGUUGUUCGGAAUCACUGGGCUUAAAGGGCGCGUAGGCGGUUUACCAAGUCGGGGGUGAAAUCUUUCGGCUCAACCGGAAAAGGGCCUUCGAUACUGGUAAACUUGAGUGAGGUAGGGGCAGAUGGAACUUCCGGUGGAGCGGUGAAAUGUGUUGAUAUCGGAAGGAACGCCGGUGGCGAAAGCGAUCUGCUGGACCUCUUCUGACGCUGAGGCGCGAAAGCCAGGGGAGCAAACGGGAUUAGAAACCCCAGUAGUCC
rnacentral:rRNA from 1 species